rnacentral:lncRNA from 1 species
CUCUCUCUCGAUCACCUUCCGGAAAUCGAAGCUCUCCCGACUCAGCGACUAACGACCUCUCUCUCAGGCCGACUUCUCUGCCGAUCACGUUCCGGAAAUCGAAGCUCUCAUCGAUCUCGCCGCCCCCAAUUUCUCUCCUUACCAAGUCACCAUCUCGCCUCCUCAAGUCCUCCACAGCAGUUCUGGGCUCGUUCUGUCUGGAGUUCUGGGCUCGUUUUCCUCCACAGCAGCAAGCGAGCAAGCCACCUCCACCUCAGUACACUCAUCCGAAUCUUUACGCCGGAGUGAUCAGUAGCAAACAUUAUGAAGAGGCAAUCAAAAUCUGCUGCUACUAGUUCCGGUGCUAAUCCGAAAUCAACUUCUUCAUCUCAGUUUCUAUCAACACUAGUGUUGGUGAAUCUACAGCACCAAUAACUCCCCAUGAAGGAACUUCUACUGCAACUCCGGAAGUUCAAGGAACUCAAGCAACCGAGCUUGAAGAUGAUGGAAGUGUGGAAAGCAUCCUUGAGGCGUUGAAACGGAAAGAAAGGUCAGAUAUUUGGAAUCAUUUUGAGAGGGAUAUGGUGGAGGGUAGA